AUCACCGUGCGCAUACGCAAUUUGUGGUACGUUCCCUUUUAGUUUGAUACCGACCGCGGUCGAGAGCAGACGUUCAUUUGUCGUAAGAACUCUACAUGUAGCACAUAAAAGUUUACUGAUCACUCGAUGACCCGUAUUAUAAGUAGAUAUAGCGUAAGUGUAAGAAGUACUUUUUGUAAAAAGUGCUUAUUGUAAUAAGUGUUUAUUGUAAAAAGUACUUACAUAUAAUAUUGUAAGAACGUUAGUUUUGAAAAUAAAUAUUUAGCACGCCUUGAGUUUCAUUUAGUAAAUAACGACGAGAUAUAAAAAUUCAAUAAUAUUUUGCUUAUAAAAAAAUAAUUAAAGAUUUGCCCACAAAAAAAAAACCGACUUCAAUUGUGACAAAACCAGUUAUUUUAAUUUAAAUACUGAAACCGGUUUUGAUAAAAUUUUUAUGGAACCAAUCUGUAAGUUUUAGAUAAAAAAAAAUAUUUUUCUAAAUCGAUUUACAACUGACGGAGUUGAGGUAACAAAUAUAAAAAAGACUACCGAAUUGAGAACCUCCUUCUUUUUGAAGUCGGUUAAAAAGGGACAAAAUUGAUACAUAGGAGCAACACGAAAGUAGUAUUGUUAAAAAAUCAAAAUUAAAAGAUAACACCUUUUUGGAGUUGCUUUAUGUUAACUUUAAGCAACAUUUGUAUUAUGUAUAGGAUGGACCUAAACGUUUGCUAUAAAAAAAAGUAAUCGCAAUCGGUAAAUAAUUAGUGAAAACAGCAUAACAAACAUUGGAAUGAAAUAAAAUAUAUUGCAAUUGAGACGCUUCGCCCUUUUUCAAAUUAAUUGGGAAAAAAUCAAGCAGUAAAAAAACAUUAGUUUUCCAAAUUGAUAUGUUACGUGUUAAUUUAGAUGAUUCUUUUUGCAAAUGACAGUGGUUACUCGCACUUACAUUUAUCACAUUUGAUUUUUUUUUUUUGUAUUUUACAACAAUGGUAUAAAUUAUCACAAAUCUUCACGCUUUCGAUUACGACAAAGGGUAAACAGACGUGUGAUUGCAUUGUUUACAAUAUCACACAAGGCCAUUGCUUUUUUAAAUGUCACACGUCGCUAGUUAUCGUGGUGGUUAUUAUGUUAACAAACAACUUUGAUUCUUAUGUCAGUAUAAAUAAACACUAAUAUGGUAUAACAAUGGGAUAAUGAUAUAAUGAACGUAGGGCUCUAUUUAUGGGUAAAGUCAGAAGCGACAGCGGAAGGUCAAACAGAUACAAAGUUGCCUAUGUCCUUAUCUGCAACAAAUAAUACGUGUAUGUCAAAUUUUAUGCCAAUUGGUUGAGCAGUUAAGGCGCAAAGAGGUAACAAACAAACUCAAACUCAUAGGGAUUUCUUCUUCUAAAUUAUAACUAGCUGUGCUAGCGACUUCGUCUGCAUGAAUGGAAAAAAUAGCCUAUGCCCUUAUCCUUGUCAAAAACUACAUGCAUACCAAAUUUCAUAACAAUUGGUUGAGCCGUAAAUGAGUAAAACGGUAACAAACAAACAAAUAGAUAUCUUUAUUAAUUGGUAACGUCCUUGUUUUUUUUUUUUAUACAACUAUUAUUAUAAAUGUGGAAGUUUGUAAAGAUAGCUGUAUAUAUGUUACUCAGACACAUCUUAAAUUUGGUAUAUAGAUAAAUGUUGAUAUCUUAACAUAACACACACAGAACAAUAUUUAUCUAGAUUGGGACCAAUAAGACGGAGAUUUUGCGCAUAGGUUGUUUGUUUGGGUACCACUGUCCCAUUCAUGUUUCUAUUGUUAAGCAGUUGUGUUUGCAUGGCUGUGUUUCGGUUUGAAGGGUGGGAUAUGGUAGUGAAUUUACAGGGUACAGAGGAAUAACACUUUAUUUUUCAGUAUUAUGGGCGAAGCAGUAUACUCUGUUACGUCUAUGGUACUGAUCGUGUCUAUAGGCGCCGGUUACCACUUUCCAUUAGAUGGGCCAUCAGCUUGUUUUGCCAUUCUACGAGUAAGUUGGAUAAAAAAAAAGUUUGAUGUGAGCACAGCCGCGGGAUAUAGCUAGUAACUAUAUACAUAAAACGAGAAAUUGAACACGUGUCUUAUUAUUAACUCUUCAGUUUUUGCAUCCAACUGGAAAAAGCAAGUAUAGUGAUCUUAGUUGUGAAAUCUCAUAAGAGGUUUAAUAGAUUGCUUCCUUCAUGUUAAAUAGAAUUUAACAGCGGUGAACAAGCUGAGAGCUCUUAUUACAGACACGGAAAGGUAGUCAGGCAAUUCACAUAAUUCUACCACUGGCAUGUAGUGUUCUAGAUGCAAUGUACGUUACAUAAUCACCACAGUCCAAAGAACUCUUUCCUAUCCGUCGUCACAACGGUCACGUCUAUAGUCUGUUAAGAAAAAAUCUAAUAAAAAAGUGAUCAAGCUUUGAGAACAUUAUCACUGAAAUUAACGCAGUGUAGUCCCGGCAUAAAAUAGGCCAUCCCUUCCUUUCCCAUGAGUGGCGACUAAAAGACCUUAACGGUCGAAGGAUGGAAAAAAAACUUUAUAAAAAGAUGAUCAAAUUUUUAAGGAAAUUAUCACUGAAAUUAAGACAGUGUAGUCCCGGCAUAGAAUAGGCCACCCCAUCCCUUUUCAGAGUGUUGAAAGAGGCGACUAAUGGAACUGUCGAAGAAUGGGCAGCAGCGUUCCUCUCAAAACAUCACCAGAGAUUAACUGCGGUUGCCAACCUGCCUAUCACGCAUGGCAAAUAUGGGCUAAACCCCUCUCAUAGGGGAUGCCUAUGUUCAGCAAUGAAAAGCUCAUUUAAACAAUUGAUUAUUUUUUUUUAUCUGUACUAUUUAGAUAUAAAUAAAUUGUAUUAGAGUCAGGACAAUAAUCCGUUUAUUUACACUUUCAUUAAAUUCUAUUGAAAUUGCCCACAGCCACUUUCUACCAUCGUACGGCUCGCCAUCGACAGGGGGUUCAUCCUCAUGUCCUACAGCCUCAAUGGUCGCGUACUGUGCGGUUUCAGAGAUGUUUCCUCCCACGAACAUUCAGGUUGUGAAAUGAGCUCCCUGCCGAGGUUUUCCCAAGAGACUACAGCAUGGGGUUCUUCAAAAGGGGGUAAAGAGGUUUCUUCUGGGUCGGCAACGCACGCGUAAAUCCUCUGGUAUUGCAGGUGUUCAUAGGCUACGGUAACCACUUACCAUCAGGUGGGCCGUAUGCUUGUUUGCCACCUCAGUGGUAUAAAAAAAAAUUAUAAAUAGAGCAAUGUCACAAUAGUCCUACAGUCGUUUGGGACAUGCCAAAGGCGGUGGACUACAAUUUAUUCCUUACGCUGUACAUUCAGACAUAUGUUUUGAAUGUACCUAUAUUAGUAUGCAGUGUAUAGUAUUGAAAUGAAAUGCACAGAAAAGGUAUUGCAAAUGCAUUGUUCGUAUUCGACGACGAUUACGUAAAAUCGUGUAAAAUACAAGGAAAAAGUAAGUAAACGACUAAUUUAUCAUGCAUCCUUGAAUGGCUUCAAGAAACAGGUGAGUCAAUAUCUGACACAUUGGUGCAAUUUUAUCUUCGUGUGCAUUUGUAAAUGUAUUGUCCUACAUAAGAAAUACAGCUAUGAAAGCUUCGUUCUAUUGAAGUAAAAGGAGAAUAGAGGGAGACUUUGUACAAAAGUCGAUUGCUUGGAUACCUCUGUUCCAUUCGUGUUUCAACCGUAAAGCAGUUGUGUUUGCAUGGCUGUGUUUCGGUUUGAAGAGGGGAUAUGGCGUGAAUUUACUGGGUACAGAGGAAUAACACCUGAGUCCUCAGGAAUGGCAACGCAAGGGGGGAUAUCAUAGGCGAAACAGUGUACUCUGUUAUGUCCAUAGUACUGCCCAUGUCUAUUAGCGACGGUUAUCACUUUCCAUCAGGUGGGCCGUCAGCUUGUUUGACAUUCUAAGUUGUAUAAAAAAAAACAAAUAUUAAGACUUUAAUAUGUCGAUGAGUAAGGCUUACCCACCUCGAUGGGUUACAAAUAAAGUACUUUUUUUAUAAAAAA